rnacentral:rRNA from 1 species
UUAGAGUUUGAUCAUGGCUCAGAACGAACGCUGGCGGCGUGGAUUAGGCAUGCAAGUCGUGCGUGAAAGGGGAGCAAUCUCCGAGUAAAGCGGCGAACUGGUGAGUAACAGGUGGGUAACGUGCCCUGAAGUGGGGGAUAACACCGGGAAACCGGUGCUAAUACCGCAUGUGGCGUCAAGGACUCUGGUCCCUGCCGCUAAAGCAGCAGUGCGCUUCAGGAUCGGCCCGUCCCCGAUUAGCUUGUUGGUGAGGUAAUGGCUCACCAAGGCGACGAUCGGUAGCUGGUCUGAGAGGAUGGUCAGCCACACUGGAACUGAGAUACGGUCCAGACUCCUACGGGGGGCAGCAGUCUAGAGGCUUCGUCAAUGGGGGCAACCCUGAACGAGCGACGCCGCGUGUGGGAUUGAAGGCCUUCGGGUCGUAAACCACUGUCAUUGGGGAAGAAUGCCCGGAUGGCGAAUCCGGGAGCGACGGUACCCAGGGAGGAAGCCCCGGCUAACUCCGUGCCAGCAGCCGCGGUAAUACGGAGGGGGCAAGCGUUGUUCGGAUUUACUGGGCGUAAAGGGUGUGUAGGCGGCUGGAUAAGUCUGGCGUGAAAUCUUCACCGCUUAACGGGAAGGGGUCGCUGGAAACUGUUCAGCUUGAGUAUGGUAGAGGCAAGCGGAAUUCCUGGUGUAGCGGUGGAAUGUGUAGAUAUCAGGAAGAACACCGGUGGCGAAGGCGGCUUGCUGGGCCAUCACUGACGCUGAAACACGAAAGCGUGGGGAGCAAACGGGAUUAGAUACCCCGGUAGUCCACGCUGUAAACGGUGCGCACUAGGUGUGGGGGGUAUCGACCCCUCCCGUGCCGACGUUAAU